GUGCCUAAUACAUGCAAGUCGAACGGUCUUUCUAUGGAAGCUUGCUUCCACUGAGAAGAUAGUGGCGAACGGGUGAGUAACACGUGGGUAACCUGCCCAUAAGAGGGGGAUAACAUCCGGAAACGGGUGCUAAUACCGCAUAGUUUUCUUGAUCGCAUGAUUGAGAAAGGAAAGACGGCCUUUGUGCUGUCGCUUAUGGAUGGACCCGCGGCGUAUUAGUUAGUUGGUGAGGUAACGGCUCACCAAGACGAUGAUACGUAGCCGACCUGAGAGGGUGAUCGGCCACAUUGGGACUGAGACACGGCCCAAACUCCUACGGGAGGCAGCAGUAGGGAAUCUUCCGCAAUGGACGAAAGUCUGACGGAGCAACGCCGCGUGAGUGAAGAAAGGUUUUCGGAUCGUAAAACUCUGUUGUCAGAGAAGAACAAGUUGGAGAGUAACUGCUCCAGCCUUGACGGUAUCUGACCAGAAAGCCACGGCUAACUACGUGCCAGCCGCUGC
rnacentral:rRNA from 1 species